CUUUCUGGCCAUUGACCACCAUCCUAUUUCCUGCUGCUCUUCGUUUCACCAAGUGGCCAUCACCCACGAGGAGGACAAAACCUGUUGCCAUCAAAUCUGAUUAUGGACAAUGGGAGACAGCUGAACAGGUUUAAGUCUUUAACGUUGCCAGAGUGAAUCAUGCCAGACAUAGAAACUGCAAUUGGUUAAAGUCAGAGUAGUGAUUAGAACAAUUCUAUCAAGUUCUGGUUUUGAUUCCACCAACAUAAGCUCAAGUGACUUCGCAGAAAACAUCAGAGUUGUCCCUGGGUCACAGCUUACAGAACCACAUCCCACAAGCACAGAAUCAGUUGCAGCUUCCUCAUAGCUGACUCAGAGCCCUGGAAAAUGCACAGCUCUGCUGUGAGUGCCAGGUGUAUCAGAGACCUACUUCAAUGCAGAACACUUACCAGACACGUUGUACUGCAGGCCAGGAUACACCUGAAGCAGCGACACAGAUUCUUCUGCAGGACUUCUCCUCCACUUCUCAGGAGCGG